GGCGGGGCCCGCCGCGCCACCAGGGCAGUGGAGGGCCCGGCCCCUCCUGGGAGGGUCGGGCGCUGUGGGACCGCGCGCGCUCAGGCGGCCGCCCCAGUCUCCUGUCCCCUCACCUGUCCCCUUAGCUGUCCCAUCUCCUGUUCCCUCUCCUGUCCCUCACCUGUCCUAUCUCCUGUCCUCCUGUGCCCUCAGCUGUCCCCUCAGCCCCCCUCAGUUCCCCCAGAGGCCCUUAGCCUCGGAACGGGCGCGUGGCUGUGCCCUGCGGCUGCAGGUGGCCGAGGGGACGAGGCGCAGCUGUUCCUGAGGCGAGUGGGUGACCGCAGAGCGGGAGCGCUGUCCCGCCUGGCAGCCUGGACGCCGGCCCUCCUCCUGGACGGAUACCGGACAGGUAACAAAACUGAAAGAAAGAAGAAGUGCGAGGACAGGCAGUGGAGUAGGUCCGGGAGCCGUACCUGGAAGACAGCCUCUCCUCAGGGCACUUCUCUCAAGGUGUUCCUGUGAGGCGUUCCUGGGUGAGACUAACAUUUGAGCUGGUAAUCAGAGUGAAGCAGAAUGCCCUCUGUCAUCAGGGUGGACCUCAUCCAAUCAGUUGAAGGCCUGACUGGAACAAAAGACUGACACACCCCAAGUAAGAAAAAUUCUCCUGCCUGAGAGCUUCAAACCAGGACAUCAGCUCUGCAGCUUUUGGGCUUGUUAGCCUCUGUAACAGAGUGAGCCAGUUCUUCUGUAUAUACAUAGGUUCUAUUUCUCUGGAGAACCUGACUAAUACAGAUUUUGGUGCCAACAGUGGUUCUAGAGGAACAGAGUCUUGAGGAUGAAUUUUCUGAAUUAGCUUUGGGGGUUUCUGGAAUUGGUUCUCUAAUCUGAUUAGAUGUAAAGACACUAGUGAGUCUAUUUCCAGUAGUGAAGAGAGCACUUUAGACCAUGGCAUGUACUGUCAAUAAACCAGUAGAGAUGUGCAAAAUAUCACCAUUGUGUAUGUCUAAUGAACACUUGUAGGAAGCAAAGAUCUGAGUGACCAUGUGUACAGCACGUCCUAACAUCUUUGUCAGCCUGAUGGGUACCCUGUGAUUGGCUGGUUGCUCCCAGUGUCCCUGGACACCAGGCUGAGUACACUGGACCAUGUCCACCACGGAAGGGGCAGCGUUUUGUCCGCAGUGGAAGAGACACGGACUGGUGCGAUCUGCCUUCUCUGUGUGCAGUGCUGCUGCCAGAACUACCAGAGGGGUUAGUCCGAAGGGAGGGACGCUUUCUCCAGAAGACUCAAAAAUGCCUCCAUUGAACUGGAAGUUAAGACUUACCGGCCACGCCGGGCUCCUUGCGCCUCAGAAUCAAGAGGCAGAGAAGGGAGGUCCUGUCCUGACCUCCAGGGGGAUUUGGGCUGUGUCUGCAUCCACACGGGAGGUGAGGACCAGUGAGUCUGGAUCACGGAGACCCCCGUGGGGCGUCUCGGUGUCACCACGCCCUGUGCUCAAGGUCAGCGGGAACCGACAAGAACCCCACCCAGGCAGGAUGGCUGAUGGCCCAGACCCUUCAGGAAUGGAGGCCUCAGUCACCACCAGGUCAGAAGCACGGCAGCGGAGCUGCUUGCUGAGGGCGAAGGGGAGACGGAGCGGGUAGGGGGAGAAGGUGGUUAUAGAAACCCACCGUGACCAGUUGCAGAGACAAGGGUUGUAAUCAUCAUGACGACUUCCUUCUUGCUUUGUUAUAAGUGUGUAUUUAUACACAAAUAUCUCUAUUUCCUUCCUUCUUGUAUCCACUUUUCAUUUAACAUACCAUGUAUUGGCUUUCCAUCAUUUUAUUUAAGUAUUAGCUUUACCUCAUAACAUCAGAGUAUUUGAGUUGUGGGAGAUCAAGGAGAAGAAUGCCCAGGAAAGUCGUGCCUUCAUGAACAGCAGGUGGAAAUCAGGGGCAGUAGAUGGUGUGUGAGGAUGGGGUGGGGACCAGGAGGGGACGGACUCCGGCUCUACCAUCUCCAAGACUGAGGGGCUGGAGGUACCACAUGUGAGAACACCUCCCCAGAAGCUGCAAACACAACAGUCCUGGAGAAGGUUGGGUGUGGGAGCAGCUCACACAGAGGCGCCAUCCGGAGUUGUGGAGAGAGGGGAGUGUACGUUCCUGUUGAAUUCCAGGUCCGCAGGCUGCAGCUUGGAAGAAGCUGAGACAGGCUGGCAGCCUGCGGUCUUCAAUCUCCUUCUGACAAUGAAGCCCAGUCUCUCAAUAAGAAAUGUAUUAAUCAACUAUCCUCUAAUAUAAAAUAAAAAGUUAAAAAAAAAAUAAACGUUUGGUGGAAUUCACCAGUGGGGGACAAAAGCCCGCAAAACGCCCUUGGACUAGUCAGCAGAGCUGUAACCUGCUCUCACAGUUUGCAGGAGAAGCAGAGUCAGAUCCUGGGCACCCGAGACUCCCAGCCCUGCUGACGGCCGACACUUACAACAAUUUCCAGAAACAACGCUGACAUCCAAGGGCUUUCAUCGUAAAUCGACAGGCUUCCAGUGCGAAGCUUUGUGUUCAGAUUGCUUCACGAUUUCGAAGUAUUUUUUUUCCGUUUUAGAUCAACGUGGAGGUAACUGCACACCAGCCUGAACGCCCCAAGGCUGUUUGUUAAGGAAAAUCUUUGAAAAUCAAAACAUCCUGCUGGGGGUUGACGGGCCAGGCAAACCUCAUUGUGAAUUCUCGUGGUGUGGAGGCGUUGAUACACCCACACGACCCAAUACGCUGGAAAGCAGUGACACAUCCCCUCCCCGAUCUGUCCCUCUAUCGCAGUGAAAGGUUUCAUGAUAAAAUUCAAUGUCAGGUGGAGAAGUAUAAGUGUUUUCAUAUUUUCAGCUUUCUUUCAGAAACUAGGAUCUAUUUAAUACAUUCAGAAAAUAAAGCAAUAUUUCGUCCUUUA